AAUUGGUUUAUUCAAUUUCAUUCUUCAAUUUUUGAAACUUCUUAUGUAUAUGUUUGUGUAUGGUUCAAUUGGAGAUAUUUGUCCUUCCAAAUCUUGCAAUAACCUUGCAUCUAGAGGAUGCAUAAUGUAUCUUAUGCAUUAAGAUAAAACCUUACAAUAUAAUGGUUGGAACCUUGUAAU